CGCCCGUCGCUCCUACCGAUUGGGUGUGCUGGUGAAGUGUUCGGACUGGCGACCGGGGGCGGUCUCCGCUCUCGGCCGCCGAGAAGUUCAUUAAACCCUCCCACCUAGAGGAAGGAGAAGUCGUAACAAGGUUUCC
rnacentral:rRNA from 1 species